AUGGGUGGCCCGUGCCUGUACUCUCGAGUGAGCAGUCUUUGGCGGCUCCCGGGAGCGCCGUCCGCCUCCCAUGCCCUGUAGUCUGUGUGGAUUCCCUCCACCCCGGCCCAGCGUGCCCACCCUGCACAUGCAUGCCCAGCGUGCUGGGGAUCCGAUCUGGGGGCGUGUCCUAGAGCCAGACUGGCUCAACCCAAGCCCAAAUGGGUCUGCAGUAUUAACUAGUCCGUCUCCCGCUCCAUUCAACACUGCUUCAUUCGCUGGAGAAUCAGCCUGCCCCCCUUUUGCUAGCUUCACAGCGUUCCUAAGAAGUGCCUUCACAGUCCGCAUUCCUUUUAAUAUGCUUUGGCUUCUGAGGAUGGAAUUGCUCAUUUGGAAGACAUCAGCAGUCGUCAUUCUGAGCUAAGUGGGCUGGACAGGGUCUUGGGGAAGCCCCUAGAAGUAUCGAGGUUGGACUGGAAUUUCUCAGUAAUAUUCAUGGCAUUGCAGUCGGUUUGGUUCUCGGUGGAAAACAUCUCGUGUCCUCUCUGUGUCCUUUUUCCUUCCCGCACUUAAGGACGUGAAUCAGUCAGAUAAGCUGCAGCAGGUUCCGCCUCAAGAGGAAGAGAAAGCUGUGAGCUGACCAGCCUGGCAGCUGCCACCCCUUCCAUCUUCUGAUUUAUCGCCUGCCUCUGCUUGUCCAGGAUUGGGCCCUUGACCUAGUGUGCUCCUUACCUUCAUCCACUGGCUUGCCCUGUUUUGACCCAGUGGUUGUGCAGAGGGGGGGUCCAGAGUAAUUUUGGGGGGAAGGGCGUAGGUGAUCUGAAAGGCAGAACUUGAUGUUGGUGGAAGGACAGUGAGGCAAGGGCAGCCUUCCCUGUGUCUGUGCCUUCCUUGGUGACUGUCAGGAGCUCCUGCCAGGGUCACAUUGAAUUCAGGUGUCCAUGGCAUGUUUGUGUUGACUACAGUGUCACAUCCCAAUUGCUUGGCGAGGCUUUGUUGUCAGCCUGGUUUUCUUCUUUAACUUCACCUCUUUUUCCCGUAAAUGUGCCUAUGGCCUCAUUUUAUUUUAUUUUUUGGGGAGACACAAGACAUUGUUAUGCAUAGCAGGCUAGCAUCUGAACUCACAGUCUUCCUGCCACAGUCUCUUGAGUUCUGGAGUACAGGUUUGCAUAGCCCUGGCUGGUCACCUCACAUCCUAUUGAUUUUUUUCUUUUUUUAAAGGAUCUCACUGUAAUCUAAACUGCCUUGGGAACUCACUGUGGAGCUCAGGCUGGCCUCAAACUUGUGGCAGUACUCCUGAGUGCUCCAUUAUUUAUGUGUCACCACACCUGGCUCCCUAACUAUUGAAGGUGGCCUUACACAAGCUAUCUUCUCUGCCUAGAAUGUCCCUUCUUCCCUGUUAGGGAACCUUCCAUGCUCUGUCCUUUAUAGCUCCCAUUCUUGCUUCCCCUCAUGGCAUUGAAGAUGUGUUUUCUGCACUGGACACGUGUGUCUAUCGGGAUAACUGCUAUGGCCGGGAAAGGGUACCUGGGCUGGAAUUUCAUUCUGUAGGAGGCCGAGGGGCUCUUGUUUCCCACUUUGACCAGGGGUUUGUUCCAGAGUCCAUCCUGCUUUACUUAUCUGGAAAUUCCAGAGGUAACUCAGCCUGUCCCUGUUUGAUCCUCAGGACUUUGACAUUGGAGAAACUUUACUAUUUCAGGGAGAAAGCCACAGUACCAGUCUAAGCAGAUCUUGGAUUUCACCAGGUCACCUUGAAGACCAUCAUGGUUAUGGCCACCUGCUGGGUAGCAGCUUGGGACUACUCCACAUUUCCAAAUCUGCACCCUCCCUUCAUCCCCAGCCGUAGCACUGCUGUGGUCACACGUGUACUGCCUUCCAGCCUGCAUGCCUAAGCUCAUGCCAUUCCCAGUAUUGGGGUGCUUGCCCCUCUUCCAAUACCCUCAGCUCCUUGGAGGCAUGCACGGAACCUGCAGCUGAAGAGUUUGUCUUCAUCUUUUCCCUGUUGGCCCUUUCUGCUGUUGUGCUGUAUCACGUCAUAUCACCUGCCCAUACACAAUCCCUGCCACAUAGCUGGCCUCAAGACCAGGCUCCUGCUCUGUGGGGCCCGUCUUACAGAUACAAGCCGUCGCACAAAGCUUGGAGGCUGCUGCACAUAUCCCGUAGGGACUGGCACCUUCCCUUUUGAGGCUUUGGAUGCGCCUCACACCACAAGCCAUUCACUCCUGUCUUCUCUGCUUGGAAUAUGCUCCAGCUCUGUUCUUUGGGUCUGGAAUGCAUCGAUUAGGAGGAAGGAAAUCAGAACUUCUCAAAUAGAUCCUGUCAGCUGG